rnacentral:rRNA from 1 species
CCCUGCCAUUUGUACACACCGCCCGUCGCUCCUACCGAUUGAAUGGUCCGGUGAGAACGUCGGAUCUUGCGCUCGACACUCUUUCGGGGGUGACUUGCGCGAGAAAAGUUGUUCAAACCUUACCAUUUAGAGGAAGGAGAAGUCGUAACAA